UCCGAAGGGGGCUAGCGUUGCUCGGAAUCACUGGGCGUAAAGGGUGCGUAGGCGGGUCUUUAAGUCAGGGGUGAAAUCCUGGAGCUCAACUCCAGAACCGCCUUUGAUACUGAGGAUCUUGAGUUCGGGAGAGGUGAGUGGAACUGCGAGUGUAGAGGUGAAAUUCGUAGAUAUUCGCAAGAACACCAGUGGCGAAGGCGGCUCACUGGCUCGGUACUGACGCUGAGGUGCGAAAGCGUGGGGAGCAAACAGG
rnacentral:rRNA from 1 species